AAGCACCCCGCCCGGGAACUACGGUCGCAAGGCUACACCUCAAACGAAUCGACGGGGCCCCGCACAAGCAGCGGAGCGUGUGGUUCAAUUCGAUGCUACACGAAGAACCUUACCUGGGUCUGACAUGUACGUGGUACGAAGCGCGAAAGCCUAAGGACCCUUCGGGGAGCGUACACAGGUGCUGCAUGGCUGUCGUCAGCUCGUGCCGUGAGGUGUCGGGUUAAGUCCCGUAACGAGCGCAACCCUUGCCCUUAGUUACAAGUGUCUAAGGGGACUGCCGGCGGGAAGCCGGAGGCCCCCGGGGACCACGUCAAGUCAGCAUGGCCCCUAUGUCCAGGGCUACACACACGCUACAAUGGUCAGUACAAAGGGUAGCGAAGUCGCGAGGCGGAGCGAAUCUCAACAAAGCUGAUCGUAGUUCGGAUUGCAGGCUGCAACCCGCCUGCAUGAGGCUGGAGUUGCUAGUAACCGCGCGUCAGCCAUCGUGCGCUGAAUACGUACCCGGGGCUUGUACACACCGCCCGUCACGUCAUGGGAGUCGGU
rnacentral:rRNA from 1 species